AAUUUCUUUUGAAUCCCAGACCCGGUGAAAAAUAUUCCAUCAUUCGAUGGAAAUAAAAAGCAGCUUUCAUCUUGGCUUACAACAGCCAGAAAGACGCUAAACCUUUUCAAGAACCUGGCUUCGGGAGAAGUCUUAGCACUUUACGAACAAUCUAUCAUUAACAAAAUUGAAGGAAGGGCCCGCGACACCAUCUGUGUGAACGGUAACCCAACAACUUUCGAAGAAUUUGCCGAAAUACUCGAAAGUGUUUACGGUGACAAAAACGAUAUUGCAAUUUACCGAACACAGCUUUGGUCAUUGAAAAUGAAUGACAACAUCCAUUUGCAUUAUAAAAGAACCAAAGAAAUAAUGCAAAAUAUGAAAAGCCUCACUAAAAGAGAGCCAAUUUACGAAAGACACUGGGAAGGAAUAAAUCACUUCCUCGAAAAAGAAUGUUUAGCAGCAUUCAUAAAUGGUCUGAAUAGAUACUACUUCGGACAUGCACAAGCCGCUCAAUUAGGUAAUAUCGAGACAGCUUACGCAUUUUUGUGUAAGUUCCAGAAUGCUGAAAACACCAGAAAAUCCACUGAUAUCCAGAAUAGCAACAAGCAAAUCACUAAAAAUACCUUCCGUAACAACGCCAAACCGCAAGAAAACUCAAACAAUACUAACGGCUCACAAAAAUUCAAAACACAAUCUGAUAGACGAAGACCUACACCCAUGGAAGUAGACUCAUCAAUCAGAUCGAACCAGAACAGAAACUAUAACCAUGACUCUGAUAGACCAAAUCAAAACAGAAUUUACAACCAUGACACUGAAACCACGAACGAUAUCCCAAACGACUCAGACGACGACACAUACUCGGACAUUGAAAGCGAACAAGAAGAUGUAAAUUUUCAGAUUACCCCCCAAAUACACAAUCAGAGAUAAAUGCAAUAAAUGGCCUACCGUUUAUAACAAUUUCUCUUAACAACGGUAAACGAGCUAAAAUCCUUAUUGACAGCGGGUCGAACAAAAAUUUCAUCUCCCCAGAUCUCAUCCCAAAAUCAGAUCGAACACCCUGCAAACCAAUCCGAAUAUUGAAUAGUUCUGGUAAACACAAAGCGACUCAACAAUUUGUUACUCAAUUAUUCGGCAUCAAGAGAAAUAUUCCCUUUUACCUGUUUAAAUUUCACAAAUUUUUCGUUGGUAUUCUAGGAUAUGAGUCACUAUCCGAACUAGAAGCCUUACUCGAUGUAGCAAAUCACAAACUCAUCCUUCCUCAAAAAACUCUUAGCCUUCAAGUAAGACAAAUGGGACCACCAGAAAUAACAUUAAACGCACAUACAACUACAAUAAUUAAACUUCCAGUUUCCCAAAACAACGGUAAUGUUUUCCUACGCAAAGAUAUCAAAAUCCAAAACGCUUUUAUACCCUCUGGCUUAUAUCAUGCGAAAAACGGCUAUAUUAACGCACCAGCUUCAAAUCUUGGCGACUCUGUAACAUGGACUCUUGGACAAGCCCAACUAAAAUUUCACCUGUUUCAGAUAUAAUUGAACUAAAUCAUACACACUCUAAGAUUAACUCAGAACACCCAACACAUAAUCUAGAAAAUCUUAUACGCACCGACCAUUUAAAUACUGAAGAAAAAGAUAAACUUUUUAAAGUACUCAGAAAUAAUGUUCGCAUAAUUCAUAGCGAGUUCGAAAAACUUUCUUGCACUACGGCUAUUAAACAUAAUAUUAAAACUAGAGACGAUAUUCCAAUUCACACCAAAACGUAUAGAUACCCGAACAUCCACAAAGCGUAAGUGGAAAGACAGAUUAACGAGAUGCUAGCAGAUGGCAUUAUUCAACAUUCUGUCUCCCCUUGGACUUCUCCCAUAUGGAUUGUGCCAAAGAAGUCCGAUGCAAGUGGCAGAAAAAAGUGGCGAAUUGUAGUUGAUUACAGGAAAUUAAACGAGAAGACAAUCAACGAUAAAUUUCCCAUCCCAAAUAUCGAAGAAAUACUUGAUAAAUUAGGAAGAAGUGUCUUCUUCACCACAAUCGAUCUAAAAUCUGGUUUUCACCAGAUCGAAGUUGAAAAAGCCGAUAGACCAAAAACCGCGUUUAGUACAGAUAAAGGACAUUUCGAGUUCAUUAGAAUGCCCUUCGGUCUGAAAAACGCACCGGCAACCUUCCAACGGGCAAUGAAUCACAUCCUUGGAAAUUUAAUCGGGCGAUGCUGUCUGGUCUAUCUAGACGACAUCAUCAUAUUUGGCAGUUCUCUCCAACAACACUUGGAAAACCUAAACAAGGUGUUGGAAAGACUAAUAAAAUCAAAUUUAAAGGUCCAACUCGACAAAUGCGAGUUUUUAAAAACAGAAUGUGAGUUUUUAGGGCACAUAGUUACUCAAGAAGGAAUAAGACCCAACCCGAAUAAAAUCGAAAAAAUUCUAAAUUGGCCAAUACCGAAAACUACCACUCAGAUCAAAGGCCUACUUGGAAUUCUCGGUUACUAUAGGAAAUUCAUUUGAGACUUCGCGAAAUUAACCAAACCCCUUACAAAAUGCCUGAAGAAAGAUGCAAAAAUUAUCCAUAAUGACGAAUUUGUCAGUUGUUUCAACGAUUGCAAACAUCUCUUGACAACCGACCCAAUAUUAAAAUACCCAGACUUCAAUAAAAAAUUCAUUUUAGAAACAGAUGCUAGCGACUUCGCAUUGGGCGCUGUUCUCUCUCAAAAAUUUGAAGACGGUAAAGAACACCCGAUCGCUUACGCGUCUAGGACAUUGAAUGACACAGAGUGCAACUAUUCGGCUACAGAGAAAGAACUUCUCGCAAUUGUGUGGGCAACGAAACAUUUCAGGCCCUACCUUUUCGGCACCCAUUUUGAGAUUCGAACUGAGCAUAAACCCUUGGUGUGGUUAAGACAAAAGAAUGACCUAAAUAGAAGACUACUUCACUGGAAACUAGCCCUUGAAGGACUUGAAUUCGAUAUCAAAUAUAAGAAAGGUACCCUGAACGGCAAUGCAGAUGCACUUUCACGAAUAACCCUAGAACCAGAAAAAAUCGAAAUUAAUGAAAAUUCAGCUACAGACGACGACAUGACUCAACACUCAGCUGACACAGAUGACAAUGACUUUAUCCCAUCAACAGAAAGACCACUAAACGAGUUCAGAAACCAACUGAUACUCGAAGAAUGCAACGAAGACAGUCGAAAAUCUGAAACCAUUUUUAGAAACUUCCACAGAACAACAAUAAAAACACCCCACUUCGGACCUGCAGUACUGAUAAACAUUCUAAAACAAUACACAUCUACAAAGCAUACUACUGGACUUUAUUGCAGCGAAAGAAUUGUAGGAAAUUUACAAGUGAUUUACAAAAAUUAUUUUCAAGAGCGAAAUCUUUGAAAAUCUUCUGGACCCAGAAACUAUUGCAAGACAUUACUGACGAACUGGAACAAGACCAAAUCAUACAAAACCAACAUAAUGCUAACCACAGAGGAAUUAACGAAACUAAAUCCCAUAUUUCACGAACUUAUUUUUUCCCUAGCAUGAAAGGAAAAAUUACUAGAUUCAUUAACCUGUGCAAACUUUGCCAAAAAUCCAAAUACGAAAGACACCCAUACAAACAAAAAUACCAACUAACAGAAACUCCAUCAAAGCCAUUACAAAUCGUACACAUGGAUAUAUUUAUAAUAAACAGUAAACAUUACCUGACACUAUGUGACAAAUUUUUAAGACUAUCUAUGGCUAUUCCUCUUAAAUCACGCAAUGUCAUACAUAUUUUAAAAGCAUUAACACUUUUCUUUUCUAGUUUAGGAAAACCUUCUCUUUUAGUUAUGGAUCAAGAGUCCUCAUUUAGAUCAACAACCAUUAAAGAAUUUCUAGAAGAAAAAAACGUGGAAUACCAUUACACAAGCGUUGGCCAAUCUUCUUCAAAUGGAACCGUAGAAAUAGUUCACAGGACUUUGAGAGAGCUCCACAACAUUUUGUCCAACAAAGACUCCACGAAAGAUCUAGCCGAAACCACAAAGAUGAAUCUGGCAGUAUCGAUUUACAACGACUCUAUUCACUCCCAAACGAAAGUAACACCUAGAGAGCUGUUUUUCGGAAUUAAAUAUAGAGACCCAAUCCCGACAGAUCUGAAUGAAAGUAUACAACAAAAAGAAACCCUGUUUAAAGUAUCCGCCGCCAAACAGAAACAAGAGAAGAUGAAAUACUUAGCAAAAGUAAACAAGAACAGAGAAGAUCCCGAUCAUUUCCAGGAAAACGAGACCGUUUACGAACGAAAAAGGAACAAUAUGAAACACGAGAAACGAUACAAAGAAAACAAAAUCCUCGAAAACAAAGAAACUAACAUUUUAGACACAAAUUUUAGAUAAAUUCUCUAAACUAUCUAAACUUAAAAGAAAACGAAAAAUCUAAUUUUUAUUAACACCAAUUUUAUUUCAUUUUAGCAACACCUAAAUGACCAAGACGGCCAACCUCUUCAUAACCAUUACCAUCAUCAUAUUCAACAGCACUAUACUCUCCGCCCCAAAUCCAACCCUGGAGAUAACAGAUCUCAACAACCAUCCUGGACUAUUUGCACUAAAAAUUGGCAAGGCACCUAGCAUACCUUAAAAGUUGACCCGAGACGGCUCAAUCCAACACGGGGGAAGUUAUGGACAUAACCGAACACCAACACCAAAAACACCGGAUGCGCCAUUCCUGAUGCAGCAAUCCAAUGCACGCACCAUUCAUGACGCAUCAGCACUUCUAACCUGGCAACGACAAUAUCGACGACACCAUCGACAAUCAUCGCACACCUGAUACAGCAGAAUUGAUCAAGGCAACCUCGAUAGCACCAUCGACAGCCUGACACAGCAGAAACAACCAUGGAAACAUCGACGAGCUUAACUCCGGAACACGUGCCCUGACACAGCAGAACCAGCGACAACGACGACAACGGCGACAGCAACGCGACGCCAACAGCGACGGCUACGCGACGCGAACAGAACAACAACCCGGUGGUGGAGAGCUAGUAGAGAACCAACAAAUCAGGUUUAGCAGCAGCAGUUAGUCUUAUUCGAAGUGUCCUAGUGAUAAGUACUUUGUAGUGCUUUAUUAAUUGAAUAAAAUUGUGAUUUAAA